CACCUAACAGCUAGCCCCGCCCCCAAACACAAAACACAACUAUUAAUACCCCCUAACACACUUUAGCUAAACAAAACAAACCAUUUUUCCCCCUGAGUAUAGGCGAUAGAAAAGGACUACCGGAGCUAUAGAUAAAGUACCGCAAGGGAACGCUGAAAGAGAAAUGAAACAACCCAGUUAAAGUACAAAAAAGCAGAGAUCAAACCUCGUACCUUUUGCAUCAUGAUUUAGCUAGCAAACAUUAGGCAAAGAGCACUUUAGUCUAACUCCCCGAAACUGAACGAGCUACUCCAAGACAGCCUAUAUAGGGCACAUCCGUCUCUGUGGCAAAAGAGUGGAAAGAGCUUCGAGUAGAGGUGACAAACCUACCGAGUCCAGUAAUAGCUGGUUGCCCGAGAAUUGAGUUUAAGCUCAGCUUUUUAGUUUCUUAACUCACCAACCAUUAACAAACGAAACCGACCCCAAGAAACUAAAAAAGUUAGUCAAAGGGGGUACAGCCCCUUUGACCCAAGAAACAACUUUACUAGGAGAAUAAGGAUCAUAAUAACUAAGGCCAUGUGUUUAGGUGGGCCUAAAAGCAGCCACCCUGUUGAAAGCGUUAAAGCUCAAACACACCCUCGCCACCAAUACCGAUAACCCAUCCAAACCCCUAACCCCUAUCGAGCCUCCCUAUGCCCCCAUAGAAGAGAUUAUGCUAAUAUGAGUAAUAAGGGGCCCCUCGACCCCCUCCAAGCACAAGUGUACAUCGGAACGAACCCCCACCGAAACUUAACGGACCCAAUCAAAGAGGGCAGUGAAUACCAAGCUAGACAACAAGAAAAACACUCACCACCCCACCGUUAACCCCACACUGGCGUGCUAAACCGGAAAGACUCAAAGAAAAAGAAGGAACUCGGCAAACCCCUAAGCCUCGCCUGUUUACCAAAAACAUCGCCUCUUGCAAAAACAAUGAAUAAGAGGUCCCGCCUGCCCUGUGACUAUAUGUUUAACGGCCGCGGUAUUUUGACCGUGCAAAGGUAGCGCAAUCACUUGUCCUUUAAAUGAGGACCUGUAUGAAUGGCACGACGAGGGCUUGACUGUCUCCUUUUUCAAGUCAAUGAAAUUGAUCUUCCCGUGCAGAAGCGGGAGUAAAAACAUAAGACGAGAAGACCCUAUGGAGCUUUAGACAUAAAACAGAUCAUGUCAAACACCCUAAAACAAAAGAAUAAACUAAAUGAGCCCUGUUCAAAUGUCUUUGGUUGGGGCGACCGCGGGGUAACAAAAAACCCCCAUGUGGAAUAAAAACACUCUUUUUAAAACCAAGAGCCACUGCUCUAAUAAACAGAACAUCUGACCAACCAUGAUCCGACCAAGCCGAUCAACGAACCGAGUUACCCUAGGGAUAACAGCGCAAUCUUCUUUUAGAGUCCAUAUCGACAAGAGGGUUUACGACCUCGAUGUUGGAUCAGGACAUCCUAAUGGUGCAGCCGCUAUUAAGGGUUCGUUUGUUCAACGAUUAAAGUCCUACGUGAUCUGAGUUCAGACCGGAGCAAUCCAGGUCAGUUUCUAUCUAUGAAGUGCCCUUUUCUAGUACGAAAGGACCGAAAAGGAAAGGCCCCUGCUAAAAACACGCCUUCCUCUCACCUGUUGCACCCAACUAAAACAGACAAGAAAGCACACAAAACAGUUAAAGAACAUAACAU
rnacentral:rRNA from 1 species